CAAAACAUUGUUUGUUUUCAAUUCCAGAUUCUUACAAAAAAAUAAAGAAAAGAAAGACUUAUUUAUUUAGUAGUAGAGAAGCAAACGAUCUCUUAUCGCAAUAAAAACUCAUUAAUAAAAAUACAAAAUCUGAGUGGCAGACAUUCAAUUACAAGCGAACAUUCGCUGUGAUCGUAGAGAAAUAACGAAUCUAGCCAGAAUUUAUACAUUUAUUGCUGUGAACGAAAAACAUCAUCUAAUUUGGUUAAUUAUUUUUGAGUUUGUUAAAUUUGAAACAAAAAAAACUACAACAAAGUGUAAAACAAUAAAAAAAAACUAAAGCACUAAAUAUAAAUUAUAAAAAUUUUGUUAUAUUUCUAAUCAAAGUAGUAAACAUUUGUUACAAGUAAUCAUUUAAUUUAUUAUUCAAAAUCAAAUGGGAAAUUGUUUUUAUGCUAAACAAUUAACAGCAAAAAGAAAACGUGUAGACAUUGUUACAACUUGAGCGUGCAAACAAAGAAGUUUUGAAUCGAUUCAAAUCAAAUCAAAUAAACACACAGUAUUUUGUUUAAAAUGAACUUUUCAAGCGCAAAGCGUCUUAUAAUUAUCUGCUGUAUCCUUUUAAACAUUAUUGAUGCUAUACAAGGAGCUGUUAAUCGCACACGUACUGUUGUUGACAUCUGUAAUCGUCAACCCACCAUUACUGGAUUAUGUAUCUCCUCAACUUUAGGCAUUUACUAUGAUGCUGAAACCCAACGCUGUAAAUAUUUGGGCUGCAGUUCUGAUAAGAAAAUUUUCUCGUCUCUAGAGGAUUGUGAAAAGAUCUGUAAUAGAAAAAAUCGUCGCCGUCAUAGACGUGUUCGUUAUUCGAAACCUUAAAUUAUUUGUAAACUAGAAACAAGUGCAAGAUUUUAUAAGUAAACAAAUGUUGUUUCAAUUAAAAAAACAAAAA